UGGGGAAUAUUGGACAAUGGGCGAAAGCCUGAUCCAGCCAUGCCGCGUGUGUGAAGAAGGUCUUCGGAUUGUAAAGCACUUUAAGUUGGGAGGAAGGGCAUUAAAUUAAUACGUUACUGUUUUGACGUUACCGACAGAAUAAGCACCGGCUAACUCUGUG
rnacentral:rRNA from 1 species